UAACGCGUGAGUAACCUGCCUUCAAGAGGGGGAUAACAUUCUGAAAAGAAUGCUAAUACCGCAUGACAUAUCGGAACCACAUGGUUCUGAUAUCAAAGAUUUUAUCGCUUGAAGAUGGACUCGCGUCCGAUUAGUUAGUUGGUGAGGUAACGGCUCACCAAGACCGCGAUCGGUAGCCUGACUGAGAGGUUGAACGGCCACAUUGGGACUGAGACACGGCCCAGACUCCUACGGGAGGCAGCAGUGGGGGAUAUUGCGCAAUGGGGGCAACCCUGACGCAGCAACGCCGCGUGAAGGAUGAAGGUUUUCGGAUUGUAAACUUCUUUUAUUAAGGACGAAAAACGACGGUACUUAAUGAAUAAGCUCCGGCUAACUAUGUGCCAGCAGCCGCGGUAAUACGUAGGGAGCAAGCGUUGUCCGGAUUUACUGGGUGUAAAGGGUGCGUAGGCGGCUUUGCAAGUCAGAUGUGAAAUCUAUGGGCUCAACCCAUAAACUGCAUUUGAAACUGUAGAGCUUGAGUGAAGUAGAGGCAGGCGGAAUUCCCCGUGUAGCGGUGAAAUGCGUAGAGAUGGGGAGGAACACCAGUGGCGAAGGCGGCCUGCUGGGCUUUAACUGACGCUGAGGCACGAAAGCGUGGGUAGCAAACAGGAUUAGAUACCCUGGUAGUCCACGCUGUAAACGAUGAUUACUAGGUGU
rnacentral:rRNA from 1 species